rnacentral:rRNA from 1 species
GACGAACGCUGGCGGCGUGCCUAAUACAUGCAAGUAGGACGCAGUUGCGAACGGGUGAGUAACGCGUAGGUAACUGACUCUUAGAGGGGGAUAACUAUUGGAAACGAUAGCUAAUACCGCAUACUAGUAGAUGGACCUGCGUUGUAUUAGCUAGUAGGUUGGGUACUGGCCUACCUAGGCGACGAUACAUAGACGACCUGAGAGGGUGAUCGGCCACACUGGGACUGAGACACGGCCCAGACUCCUACGGGAGGCAGCAGUAGGGAAUCUUCGGCAAUGGACGAAAGUCUGACCGAGCCAUGCCGCGUGAGUGAAGAAGGUUUUCGGAUCGUAAAACUCUGUUGUUAGAGAAGCGGUAUCUAACCAGAAAGCCACGGCUAACUCCGUGCCAGCAGCCGCGGUAAUAC